rnacentral:rRNA from 1 species
AUUGAACGCUGGCGGCAGGCCUAACACAUGCAAGUCGAGCGGAGCGGCGGACGGGUGAGUAAUACCUAGGAAUCUGCCUGAUAGUGGGGGAUAACGUUCGGAAACGGACGCUAAUACCGCAUACUAUCAGAUGAGCCUAGGUCGGAUUAGCUAGUUGGUGAGGUAAUGGCUCACCAAGGCUACGAUCCGUAACUGGUCUGAGAGGAUGAUCAGUCACACUGGAACUGGGAAACGGGCCAGACUCCUACGGGAGGCAGCAGUAGGGAAUCUUCGGCAAUGGGGGGAACCCUGACCGAGCAACGCCGCGUGAGUGAAGAAGGUUUUCGGAUCGUAAAGCUCUGUUAAUCGGGACGCGGUACCGGAAUAGAAAGCCACGGCUAACUACGUGCCAGCAGCCGCGGUAAUAC